CUUGUUCUUUAACAAGCAUUUUACGGUCGAUACCGUGAAAAGUCACCCAUCGGUCACGGUAAUGAAAACCAGGCUCGUUUCAGGAGCUGAGCCCAGUAAGACAUGGGGAAUUUCGAAAGUGGAUGCAACUUCUUU